GACGAACGCUGGCGGCGUGCUUAACACAUGCAAGUCGAACGGUAAGGCCCCUUCGGGGGUACACGAGUGGCGAACGGGUGAGUAACACGUGAGCAACCUGCCCUUGACUCUGGAAUAACAGUUGGAAACAGCUGCUAAUACUGGCUAUUCAUCGUCUCCUUCCUGGGGGGUGGUGGAAAGCUCCGGCGGUCAGGGAUGGGCUCGCGGCCUAUCAGCUUGUUGGUGAGGUAAUGGCUCACCAAGGCUUCGACGGGUAGCCGGCCUGAGAGGGCGACCGGCCACACUGGGACUGAGAUACGGCCCAGACUCCUACGGGAGGCAGCAGUGGGGAAUAUUGCACAAUGGGCGCAAGCCUGAUGCAGCAACGCCGCGUGCGGGAUGACGGCCUUCGGGUUGUAAACCGCUUUCAGUAGGGACGAAGGGUGACUGACGGUACCUACAGAAGAAGGACCGGCUAACUACGUG
rnacentral:rRNA from 1 species